ensembl:snRNA U6 U6 spliceosomal RNA
GUGUUUACUUCAGCAGCACAUGGACUGGACUUGGAAUAAGACAGAAUAUUAGCAUGGCUCUUGCACAGGGAUGACAUGCAAAUUUGUGAAGUGUUCCAUAUAUUA